rnacentral:lncRNA from 1 species
UACAUCAAUCUCUUUCUCUAAGUAUAUGUAAAUGUAGAGAAAGCGAUAUAUAUGUUCUAUAUGUAUACUGUUUCUGCGAAGAACCCUAAUACAAACAUUAAUAAAUUGUUUAUAUUGUAUUUUAUAUUUCUACUGAUUUGGAAAAUAUACAUUCUACUCAUAGUCUGUUAGAGAACAUCUUUCAUUAAAAGCAUGUAAGCCUUUAUUUCUCUGUUAUAACAAUAAAACCUCAAUGCCUCAAAUAAGAUGAGGAAUUCAGCUUGCUUUUAAAAGUUUCCUCUUUUUUCUCUAUCUCCC